AAAAAAAAAUGAAGCCUAAUAAUUAAAAUUUAAUAAAAAUUAAGAACUCCAGAAGUUUAGGGGUGAAAGAAUUUUCUUUUUUUAGUUAUUUUAGAAUUUGUUUGGGUUUUUAGAGAACAUCAUAUGCAGCUUCUCUUUGAAUCGACUCUUGGACAUGACCGGAAGUGUUAAUUGUUCAUAGAGCACGAGUUCGAUUCAAGACUCGUAAAAUCUGAUUUGUGAAUCAUUUCGAACAUUAAAAUAGUCUGAAAAAAGACUUGUAAAGGUCUUUAAUCGCCAAGAAAUCCUUUGAAUUUUAUUUAUAGUGCAAAAAAACAGCAUAUGCUGAUUAGGUAUGUUUUGACGCUGGGAUGCUGGUUUAUGCUGGUCUUUUGCUGGUUUAUUCUGGUCCUUUGCUGGUUUAUGCAGGUCUUUUGCUGGUUUAUUCUGGUCCUUUUGCUGGUUAAUGCUGGUCCUUUGCUGGUUUAUGCUGGUCCUUUGCUGGUUUAUGCUGGUCCUUUGCUGGUUUAUGCUGGUCCUUUUGCUGGUUUAUUCUGGUCCUUUGCUGGUUUAUGCUGGUCCUUUGCUGGUUUAUGCUGGUCCUUUGCUGGCAAAGGACCAGCAUAAACCAGUAUCCCAGCAUCAAAACAAACCUAACCAGCAUAUGUUGGUUUUUUCAGCAGGGUGUAACGUUACAAAUACUGUAACGUUAAUAAACACGAAACAUUGCACUGAGUCACAGACCCUCACCUUUUUUAGAUAUCUCAACUCAGAAAGCACAAACCCAGUCAAGUUCAUUAAAAUCCCAGCUGUUUGAACAGAAAUGACACAGAACGGAACUGUCUGAGCAGCCAUCCACCACCAGGUGUUCAUUUCCACGGGCAGCACAGUUGAAUCAUCGUCACUGUAGAAACAAACACUAAAAAAAAAACUGUGUACCUCCUGUGCACUAUAUAUUCAGCUGCAUGGAAAACUUUAAUCAGGGAAAUGCCCUAAAUUUUUGUCCAAAUUUCAAUUGUUUUAAAGGAAAUAAAUGUAUUUUGUCUGUGUUGUCUUUUUUAGAUAACUUUGUUUGUUGAACCUGGGGGUAAAAUUGGUUUGUUUUGCAAAGGUUUUCAGGACAAUGACCUACUAAAUGAACAAAGGAGUGAUUUUAGUGACUAAUGCUGUUUGUAAAAAUAUAAAGAAAGCAGGACGUGUGCCUCCUGGGAUAAAUAACCAACUAUGCCGAGUGAAUGAAGGAAAAAAAUAAAAACAACACACACAAUAUAUAAGUGUGCUUUUUCACAAGGGACCCAAAACUUCAUUGCAUUAAAACAAAAUAAAAAAAAUUAGAUUAUUUGAUUUGAAUACAUCACAAAACCUGUUAUGUUGUCUAUCACGGAUGAGGUUUUAAAAUCAAUAUUAUUAUGAUUAUGAAAUGAAUCUGAAAUGGAGUUGUGAGCGGUCAUAUGACCCAGAGGAAAACAAUGCCAGCUGGGUGAACUAAUCAGCUUAAGUGCUGUAAAACUGGUUUGAAUGUAUCUCUAAAAGUAAAGUUUUUAAAAUGCAGCUCUGUAUUUACCCUUUUAAAACUUUCCUGCAAUAACACUGUCAAAUCCAAUUCGCAAUAUAUUAUAGUUUUGAGACGGCCCAAGGUGGAGGAAUAUAAAUCCAGGUUGCUUUUCGCAAGAGAAACCGUGUCUUAUUUUAUUUUUUAUUUUCUUUACAUUUGAUUCAGAUCUAUAGUGUGACUGAAAAGUCAUCUGUGUAUUUCUUUAAGGCAUUAAAAAUCAUAAAAUGCAAUAAAAUCAUAAAUCCCUUCAUGUCAGCAGUCAUUCAUCACAACAUAUACUGAUGUCAAGAGAAUAGUUAAAUUACAGCUGCUAAUGUGCACAACAGCUAAGAGCCC
ensembl:lncRNA